CAUUUCCACCAGCAGCGCAGCCACUCUCCAUUCUCCACUCGUCUCCGAUCUGCUUCUGUGGAGUGUGAAAAUGUCGCUUGGACCGACUGCUUGCUCGUACGCAGCUAUCAUCCUUCAUGACGAUGACAUCCCCGUCACUGUAUCCUUUUUCUUCUUUGUGUAUUUAGGUUUUGCAUUAAUUUGGGAGUGCAUGUUCGAAAUGAUUUCUUAGUUUCAGCUUAUGCAUUUUUUUGUUGCCUUAGGUUUCGAAUCAAUUAAAGUACUGGGUAAGUGGGAUUGAAACAAAAGUUUGUUUGAGUCUGUAACAUGAUGUUGUUGGGAAAAGGUAUGUUUAAUAUAACCAUUGUUUCUUGUUGGAACUUGUUUGGAAUCCAUUUAAAUAUCGAGAAAGGGGGAUUGAAUUUGGCUUUUUUUUUUCUUGGGAUACUGAUAGGGACUCUACGACUUAUCAUCAAUAAUUUUAAUUGUCUGAAUACGAUGUGUUGCUCCUUAAGUUGUUGUAAAUAGUCCGAUAAAAUCGUAGCCUUGUUGAAGAGGGCAAAUGUUGAAGUAGAAUCAUAUUGGCCCAGCUUGUUUGCUAAAUUUGCUGAAAAGCGAAGUAUUGGUGAAUUGAUAGCCAAUGCCGGAGGCGGUGGGGCCCCAGUUGCAGUUGUAGCCGCCCCAGCUGCUGCUGCAGGUGGUGGUGGUGGUGCCGCCGCCGCUCCUGCUGCUGAGGAGAAGAAGGAAGAGCCCCAAGAAGAGAGUGAUGACGAUAUGGGAUUCAGUCUCUUCGAUUAGGGAUUCUCUCAACAUGAUCUGGUCAAAUUUUGUUGUUCUGAGUUAUUUAUGGAUAUUUUAGGUUUUCUUUUUCUGUUGGUUAUUUACAUUUGUAUACGUCUUGACUUUGUAGUGUCAUGAACUUUGGUAUGUGGGUUUAUGUCCAUUUUGAGAAUUCAGACAAGAGAAAUGUUAAUGUUAUUCUGUUUCUUCAAUUUUCUUUUUGUCCACUAUUGUUGUCUAAGUCUCGCACCCAAUUUAUGUCUUCAAAUCGGUGAUGAACAAAUUUUGAUAGUUGGUUCUGACACCUAAUUAAUCUUGAUCGGUUUGCAAGCAGUAUUAA